rnacentral:sRNA from 1 species
AGUGGGACCAUGUGAGACAUCUUGAGGCCAUCCACGUUCCUGCUUAAAGAGCCCGGGACCAGCGCAGAGGGCCUGAUGCCUGAUCUGCCAAGUCUGUCCGACCAUGCCUGUCUGCUGUCCCCCUAGCUGUUCCAGUGGUGGAUUGGCAGGACCGGGUGCCCACCUGGUACUCCUUACCGAAGGAGCCCCUGGUAGUGCCCACCUAGCCCAGGACAAGGAGUGGAACGGGAGCUGCAGCUGCAGUGGUCACGAGGGCAGCCUGGAGGAGGUGGCCAUGAAGGAUAGCCUUCAUAUCGUCAGCCUCUGUUUCCAAGGAAACAAGACUCUAGGUCCACUUUGCCGUCCAGACCUGAAGCUGACCCUUCAUACACAGCCCUGUGAUACUUUGAGCCUGCUUGCCUCAAAACACUGCUUGCUUUACACUUCACCUAACUCCACCCUUCCCCUCAAUUCUUUAAUAACCUUUCCCUUUGUUCAGCCAGAUCACUAUAGUUCCUCUGCUGGGUGGUUUCCCUCAUUGGAAUAAGUCAACAACUGGGUUUGUUUCUGGUGGUUUUAGGCUGACUUGGCGAGGACUAGCCUAAAAAUUAACCCAAAGGAGAAAAAUAAAAUUGUAUGCAUGAAGAUGG